GGGCCGUUAGCUCAGCUGGUAGAGCACCGGACUUUUAAUCCGAUGGUCGCUGGUUCGAAUCCAGCACGGCUCACC
rnacentral:tRNA from 1 species